rnacentral:rRNA from 1 species
UACGGGGGGGGCAAGCGUUGUUCGGAUUUACUGGGCGUAAAGGGCUCGUAGGCGGCCAAUUAAGUCAGACGUGAAAUCCCUCGGCUUAACCGGGGAACUGCAUCUGAUACUGGAUGGCUUGAGUUCGGGAGAGGGAUGCGGAAUUCCAGGUGUAGCGGUGAAAUGCGUAGAUAUCUGGAGGAACACCGGUGGCGAAGGCGGCAUCCUGGACCGAAACUGACGCUGAGGCGCGAAAGCCAGGGGAGCAAACGGG